UACGAGGGGUGCUAGCGUUGUUCGGAAUCAUUGGGCGUAAAGAGUAUGUAGGCGGCCAAAUAAGUCAGUUGUGAAAUCCCCGGGCUCAACCCGGGAAGUGCAAUUGAUACUGUCUGGCUUGAGUAUGGAAGAGGGUAGUGGAAUUCCAGGUGUAGUGGUGAAAUACGUAGAUAUCUGGAGGAAUACCGGUGGCGAAGGCGGCUACCUGGUCCUAUACUGACGCUGAGAUACGAAAGCAUGGGUAGCAAACAGG
rnacentral:rRNA from 1 species